UACGUAGGUGGCAAGCGUUGUCCGGAUUUACUGGGCGUAAAGAGCGCGCAGGCGGCUUUGCAAGUCGGGUGUGAAAGCCCUCAGCUCAACUGAGGAAGUGCGCCCGAAACUGCAGAGCUUGAGUACCGGAGAGGAUGGCGGAAUUCCCGAAGUAGAGGUGAAAUUCGUAGAUAUCGGGAGGAACACCGGUGGCGAAGGCGGCCAUCUGGACGGAUACUGACGCUGAGACGCGAAAGCGUGGGGAGCAAACAGG
rnacentral:rRNA from 1 species